AUUGAACGCUGGCGGCAGGCUUAACACAUGCAAGUCGAGCGGAGAUGAGGUGCUUGCACCUUAUCUUAGCGGCGGACGGGUGAGUAAUGCUUAGGAAUCUGCCUAUUAGUGGGGGACAACAUUCCGAAAGGAAUGCUAAUACCGCAUACGUCCUACGGGAGAAAGCAGGGGAUCUUCGGACCUUGCGCUAAUAGAUGAGCCUAAGUCGGAUUAGCUAGUUGGUGGGGUAAAGGCCUACCAAGGCGACGAUCUGUAGCGGGUCUGAGAGGAUGAUCCGCCACACUGGGACUGAGACACGGCCCAGACUCCUACGGGAGGCAGCAGUGGGGAAUAUUGGACAAUGGGGGAAACCCUGAUCCAGCCAUGCCGCGUGUGUGAAGAAGGCGGUAUGGUUGUAAAGCACUUUAAGCGAGGAGGAGUCUACUGAGACUAAUACUCUUGGAUAGUGGACGUUACUCGCAGAAUAAGCACCGGCUAACUCUGUGCCAGCCGCCGCCGUAA
rnacentral:rRNA from 1 species